CCGGGGCUUCAAAAAUGUAAAGAACAUUAAAAACGGGGCUUGGAAUCAGUUACUAUGGAGCUUGGAAGCAUGAAAACCCUAACUAUGGCUUCCCCCCUUGCUAAUUUCAGCCAAAUGAAGAAGAUGACCACAAUUUUCCAUCUUUUUCCCUUUUAAUUCAUUUUAAUUACCAAAUUACCAAAAUGCCCAUAACUUAAAAAUUUCCUAUUUCAC
rnacentral:lncRNA from 1 species